UACGGAGGGUGCAAGCGUUGUCCGGAUUUAUUGGGUUUAAAGGGUGCGUAGGCGGCCCUGUAAGUCAGUGGUGAAAUACGACAGCUCAACUGUCGAACUGCCAUUGAUACUGCAGGCUUGAGUACAGACGAGGUAGGCGGAAUUGAUAGUGUAGCGGUGAAAUGCGUAGAUAUCGUAAGGAAGGCCGGUGGCGAAAGCGAACCUCUGGGCAGCAGCUGACGCUGUGGCACGAAGGCUAGGGGAGCAAACGGG
rnacentral:rRNA from 1 species